rnacentral:rRNA from 1 species
CGGUUAACAGAGGGAUGCAAAUCCGCGAGGAGGAGCGAACCCCCAAAAGCCGUCCCAGUUCGGAUUGCAGGCUGCAACCCGCCUGCAUGAAGUCGGAAUCGCUAGUAAUCGCGGAUCAGCAUGCCGCGGUGAAUACGUUCCCGGGCCUUGUACACACCGCCCGUCACACCAUGAGAGUCGGGAACACCCGAAGUCCGUAGCCUAACCUUUAUCGGAGGGCGCGGCCGAAGGUGGGUUCGAUAAUUGGGGUGAAGUCGUAACAAGGUAGC